CAGUAGCCACGGGAAUACGAAGGGUGCAAGCGUUACUCGGAAUUACUGGGCGUAAAGCGUGCGUAGGUGGUUAUAUAAGACAGAUGUGAAAUCCCCGGGCUCAACCUGGGAACUGCAUUUGUGACUGUAUAGCUAGAGUACGGCAGAGGGGGAUGGAAUUCCGCGUGUAGCAGUGAAAUGCGUAGAUAUGCGGAGGAACACCGAUGGCGAAGGCAAUCCCCUGGGCCUGUACUGACGCUCAUGCACGAAAGCGUGGGGAGCAAACAGGAUUAGAUACCCCCGUAGUCCCUGUCUCUUAUAC
rnacentral:rRNA from 1 species